rnacentral:rRNA from 1 species
UAGGGAAUCUUCCACAAUGGACGCAAGUCUGAUGGAGCAACGCCGCGUGAGUGAAGAAGGUCUUCGGAUCGUAAAGCUCUGUUGUUGGUGAAGAAGGAUAGAGGCAGUAACUGGUCUUUAUUUGACGGUAAUCAACCAGAAAGUUACGCUGAACUACGUGCCAGCAGCCGCGGUAAUACGUAGGUGGCAAGCGUUGUCCGGAUUUAUUGGGCGUAAAGCGAGCGCAGGCGGAAUGAUAAGUCUGAUGUGAAAGCCCACGGCUCAACCGUGGAACUGCAUCGGAAACUGUCAUUCUUGAGUGCAGAGAGGAGAGUGGAACUCCAUGUGUAGCGGUGGAAUGCGUAGAUAUAUGGAAGAACACCAGUGGCGAAGGCGGCUCUCUGGUCUGCAACUGACGCUGAGGCUCGAAAGCAUGGGUAGCGAACAGGAUUAGAUACCCUGGUAGUCCAUGCCGUAAACGAUGAGCGCUAGGUGUUGGGGACUUUCCGGUCUCAGUGCCGCA